GCCCCGUUCGUCUAUUGGUUUAGGACAUCGCCCUCUCAAGGCGGAAAGACGAGUUCGAUUCUCGUACGGGGCG
rnacentral:tRNA from 1 species